AAUAAGCGUAAUCGUGGGUUUUAGUGUCCAACUUUGAUCAUUCGUCUUAUUUGAAAUAUUUUUAUAAUUAACAUUUUUAUUGUUAUUAGAUGAUUAAAUAUGAAUAGUACUUUGUGCGUGACUUAACUUUUAAAAUUUUUAUAAAUUUUUCAAAUAAGACGGAUGGUCAAACGUUAGACACGGAAACUUAUAGCUGCACUUAUA
rfam:Oryza barthii chromosome 3, whole genome shotgun sequence.